UACAGAGGUCCCGAGCGUUGUUCGGAUUCAUUGGGCGUAAAGGGUGCGUAGGUGGCGCUGUAAGUGGGGUGUGAAAUCCCGGGGCUUAACCCCGGGACUGCAUUCCAUACUGCGGUGCUUGAGGACUGGAGAGGAGACUGGAAUUUACGGUGUAGCAGUGAAAUGCGUAGAGAUCGUAAGGAAGACCAGUGGCGAAGGACGGUCUCUGGACAGUUCCUGACACUGAGGCACGAAGGCCAGGGAGCAAAACGGGAUUAGAGUACCC
rnacentral:rRNA from 1 species